UCCCUGGUGGCUCAGAUAGUAAAGCGUCUGUCUACAACGCUGGAGACCCAGGUUCAAACCCUGGGUUGGGAA
rnacentral:tRNA from 1 species